rnacentral:rRNA from 1 species
CCUACGGGAGGCAGCAGUGGGGAAUAUUGGACAAUGGGCGCAAGCCUGAUCCAGCCAUGCCGGGUGAGUGAAGAAGGCCUUAGGGUUGUAAAGCUCUUUCACCGGUGAAGAUAAUGACGGUAACCGGAGAAGAAGCCCCGGCUAACUUCGUGCCAGCAGCCGCGGUAAUACGAAGGGAGCUAGCGUAGUUCGGAAUUACUGGGCGUAAAGCGCGCGUAGGCGGAUAGAUAAGUCAGAGGUGAAAUCCCGGGGCUCAACCCCGGAAUUGCCUUUGAUACUGUUUAUCUUGAGUGUAGAAGAGGUAAGUGGAAUUCCGAGUGUAGAGGUGUAAUUCGUAGAUAUUCGGAGGAACACCAGUGGCGAAGGCGGCUUACUGGUCUGCAACUGACGCUGAGGCGCGAAAGCGUGGGGAGCAAACAGGAUUAGAUACCCCUGUAGUC